UUCUCUGAUGCUUUCCCUUGCUCCUCCCGAUCCUAUCUCCAGCCUAUCUCCAGAAAAGCCUUUCCACUGAAGCAUGCUGACUGUGUAGCAUCUGAAUUGCCAGUCCAGCCAAUGAUUCUCAAGAGGAAACCUGCUGGGACCUUCUGGAAAAUAUCAAGUUGUGUCAUGUGAAGACAUUUGGAGCAAAAAUAGCCAUCGUGGGAUCAUAAAGGGAAAGCCAAGAGAAUGGAAGUUAAGGUGUUUCAAGAUCCUGACAUCAUUGAGCUGCUUAAUUAACCAACACUGGAACCAUCCUAGUUGCAGAACAUGAGCCAAGAAGAUGACAUUUAAGCUAAGAUUUGCAGGCACUGUGGGAGUGAGCCAUGUGGAUAUGCAGGGGAAGAGACUGCCAGGCAGAGGGGCCAGCCAGCACAAAACCCUUGAGAAAUUGAUUAUUAAAGAAGCCCUUGUUGCCCAGAAAUCGGCCCGAACCAAUAUGCUCAAUUAAUAUUUGA